AGCGAACGCUGGCGGCGUGCCUAACACGUGCAAGUCGAACGUGAAACCCCGCAAGGGGGAGUAAAGUGGCGUACGGGUGGGUAACACGUAGGUAAUCUACCCCAGAGUCUGGAAUAACCGGCCGAAAGGCUGGCUAAUACUGGAUAGAGCGACGGAAUCCGUAAGUGGGUUUUUCGGGAAAGGGAGCCUGUAAGGGCCUUUGCUCUGGGAUGAGCCUGCGUCCCAUCAGCUAGUUGGUAAGGUAACGGCUUACCAAGGCGAUGACGGGUAGCUGGUCUGAGAGGAUGAUCAGCCACACUGGAACUGAAACACGGUCCAGACUCCUACGGGAGGCAGCAGUGGGGAAUCUUGCGCAAUGGACGAAAGUCUGACGCAGCCACGCCGCGUGAGUGAAGAAGGCCUUCGGGUUGUAAAGCUCUGUCGGAAGGGACGAAAACUCUUAAGGUGAAUAGCCUUAGGAAUUGACGGUACCUUUAGAGGAAGCACCGGCUAACUCUGUGCCAGCCGCCGCUGUAA
rnacentral:rRNA from 1 species